UACGGACACACGUAGGUAGGAUGAGAAAUCUAAGGCGCUCGAGAUAACUCGCGUUAAGGAACUCGGCAAAAUGCACACGUAACUUCGGGAGAAGUGUGGCCUGAGCGAUCAGGUUGCAGAUAAUAGGCCCAGGCGACUGUUUACCAAAAACACAGGACUCUGCGAACGCGCAAGCGGAAGUAUAGGGUCUGACGCCUGCCCGGUGCUGGAAGGUUAAGAGGAGGGGUUAGCGGGAAACUGCGAAGCUCUGAAUUGAAGCCCCAGUAAACGGCGGCCGUAACUAUAACGGUCCUAAGGUAGCGAAAUUCCUUGUCGGGUAAGUUCCGACCCGCACGAAUGGUGGAACGAUCUGGGCACUGUCUCGACGCGAGACUCGGUGAAAUUUAAGUACCGGUAAAGAUGCCGGUUACCCGUGGUUAGACGGAAAGACCCCAUGAACCUUUACUGUAGCUUAUCAUGGGGACUUGGCUUUACAUGUGUAGGAUAGGUGGGAGACAGGGAAGCAUGGCCGCUAGGCUGUGUGGAGUCGUUGGUGAAAUACCACCCUUGUAAGGCUAGGUUUCUAACUCAGUUUGUAAAUCCAGGCUGAGGACAGUGGUAGGUGGGCAGUUUGACUGGGGCGGUCGCCUCCUAAAAGGUAACGGAGGUGCGCGAAGGUUGCCUUGCGCUGGGUGGAAAUCAGCGCUUAAAGUGUAAAGGCAUAAGGCAGCUUGACUGCGAGUCCGACAGGACGAGCAGGUACGAAAGUAGGUCUUAGUGAUCUGGCGGUAGCGAGUGGAAGCGCCGUCACUUAACGGAUAAAAGGUACUCUGGGGAUAACAGGCUGAUCUUGCCCAAGAGUUCACAUCGACGGCAAGGUUUGGCACCUCGAUGUCGGCUCAUCGCAUCCUGGGGCUGGAGCAGGUCCCAAGGGUUUGGCUGUUCGCCAAUUAAAGCGGUACGUGAGCUGGGUUCUGAACGUCGUGAGACAGUUCGGUCCCUAUCUGCCACGGGCGUUGGAUGGUUGAGAGGAGCUGCUUUUAGUACGAGAGGAUCGAAGUGGACGAACCUCUGGUGUACCAGUUAUCCUGCCAAGGGUAAAUGCUGGGUAGCUAAGUUCGGAAGGGAUAACCGCUGAAAGCAUCUAAGUGGGAAGCCCACCUCAAGAUGAACCAUCCCCGGGGAUUAAAUCCCCCUUAAGGUACCAGACAGACUAUCUGGUUGAUAGGCUGGAGGUGGAAGUGCGGUAACGCAUGGAGCCGACCAGUACUAAUCUACCGUGAGGCUUGACCU
rnacentral:rRNA from 1 species